GCAGAAACGGGAAGUCAUGUUGCAGGCGCGUAACUCGACAAACAGAAUGGACAGUAGGUUGUGCAUGGGAGGUAAAUAUUCGAUGUACGUACCAUUGCAGAGCUGCAUUUAGGUGUGCCCCACACACACAGGCACAUGGGUACACACACACAGGCACAUGGGUACACACACACACUCACACACAGGCACAUGGGUACACACACACACACAGGCACAUGGGUACACACACACACACUCACACACGCAGGCACAUGGGUACACACACACACACAGGCACAUGGGUACACACACACACACUCACACACACAGGCACAUGGGUACACACACACACACUCACACACACAGGCACAUGGGUACACACACACACAGGCAGAUGGGUACACACACACACGUCUGCUGCGUAGGAUGACCUGGU
ensembl:lncRNA